CAGAGCGGCAAGGAGCUGACUGCACCCCUCUCCACCAGCAGAGAGUCCCACUGAGGCGUUAGGGGGCGCCAACAGCCUUUUUACUCCCAGUCCGCCCUGAUUUCGGGGUUCUGGAAGUCGCUAAAAGCUCGCGGCGAGCUGGGUGCCUUCAAAGGAGCCAGCCCACUGGAAAUGCCUGGCCAGCAAUUUUGCUCCCUUCCGAGGCUGGGGAGAAGGAGCCACAAGCACUCUCUUGAGAUUCCUCAAAUGGAGGCGAAUUUGGAAGUGGCUCAACUGGGAAAUUCUAGUGUGAGAUAUCUCAAGAGAUCAACUGGACAUUAAGUCAUCUGAAGAAUUUCCUGGAACUGGAGGGUCAGCUCCAAGACAGCUCAUUUACACGCUUGGCAAGUUGAUGCUGGUUGUUGGUGGGAGGCCUCAGUUCCUCAUUAGGUAGGCCUCUCCAGCAGGCUAUUUGAGUGUCCUCAUGACUUGAAAACUGGGUUCCCCCACAGCGUUCCUUUCAAAAGGCCAAGGCAGAAGCCACAAUGCCUUUUAUGGUCUAGCUUCAGAAGUCACAUACACCAUUUCUUCCACCUUAUUCUGAUGCACAGGGCCAUCCUGACUCAGUCUGGGAAGGUACUCCACAAAGUCAUAAAUACCAGGAGAAAGCAAUCACUGGGGGACCAUCCUGGAGUCUAGCUACCACAUUCCUCAAUCUAUUCCAAGUACUAAAGGCUUUCCAAAAGAUUAUUUGAGUCCUUCACAUCUGUUUGCAGGACUAGGAGCGAAGGUCAAGGAGGCCAUUUGUGAUGAUCUCAGCUUGCAUCACCAUCAUAAGAGGUUCUGAAGAGCUCACUUGAAAGCUGCUUCAAAUAUCAGAAAACUUUGAGAAAUGCCUACCAUUCAUCUCAGCCAGCAACUCUGAAAUGAGAGAUUCUCUAGAGACUACCACUGGCUGUCUCAGCUACUUACAGUACCAAAGAGUCAUUCACUAGCGAGUACCCUGAAGCUGCAGAGAGCCUCACACCUGCUUCCAGAGAACAUGGUUUCUCCUAUAUGUCUGCCUUCCAAUUUCAUGCAAAUGCUUCUCAUUGACUAACACUACCCUAGGAUCAUAGAGAAAAGGGGAUUCUGGGAAAUGUAAUUUCUGGUCUCUCUUCAGUGACGUAGAAAGUCUGUGGAAGCAGGUGGUAGUAAUACUGAGCUGACUACAGAUAAUUCAGCCCAGUCUUUGGGGGUCUUUCAGUCAAGGAAAUAUGUAUAAUACUAUGUAUUUUGGCUUGAAAUUCACCCUUAUACUCUGAAGAUAAUAAUAAACAGCUUAAAAUUUUUUUAAGUCAGAGAAGACAUACUCACAAGAUAAACAUUUCCACAAAUGGGAUAGUAAUGAACAGGGGCUGAAGCCAUAAACCUAUGGAUCCAGAAAUGGGCAGAGAGGGUUAUAAUUCUACUUCUUUAGAGAUGUUAUGGACCGAAUGUUGGUGUUCCCAUAAAAUUCAUACAUUGGAGCCCUAAUCCCCUAUAUGAUGAUAUUAGGAGGUGGAAUUAGGAGGUGAGGCCAUGAGGGUGGAGUCUCAUAAUGGGAUUAGUGUCUUUAUAAGAAGAGAAAGAACAGAGCUCACUCUUUCCUGGAGCACAUAAAGCAGUUCUGUGAGUAUACAGUGAGAUGGUGGCCAUCUGUGGGCCAGAAAGCCUGUCCUCCGCAAGAACUAAGUCUUCAGGCACCUUGAUCUCGGAUUUCCCAGCCUGUAGAACUGUUUAAGUCACCCAGUCUAUGGUAUUUUAAUAUAGUAGCUGGAGCUGAUUAAGACAAAGGAUUUUAACUCCUGAAGGGUGAUGGGACUCAAAAGCACCCUGUGCCUGACAAGAGACCAGAGCUGGGAUCACUUCAUGAAAGACAUUACUAAAAACUGAGAUCACAUCUAGGGCUAUGUCUUCUUAAAGUGGAGUAUCUCUGGCCCUAUUCUAAGUGUUAUGUCAUCAAUUGCCCUUGAAGUAGAGAAAAGCCUUAUAUGCAUUAUCUUCUCACUGAAACCCAUACUUCCUUAUAUUAGUUUUAUCUUUUUAAUGCCCCCCCCCAAAUUAUUUCACCAGAUUUACCAAUAUAUUUUACUAUCUUGCCUUUUUUUCUUACAUCCUAUUUCUUACAUUCUAUGAAUGUACUUUUCUUCUUGCUAAAGUAUAUCCUUUAGUAACUUUUUCUUCAAGGGUCUAUAAAAGGUAGAUGCUCAUAUUUUUUACAUUUCUGAAAAUAUCUUUAUUUUCUCCCCUCUUGUACAAUAAUUUAAUUGGAUAUAGAAUUCUAAGUUGGCAGUGAUAUUCCUUCAUAACUUUGAAGAUAUUAUUCUGUCUUCUGGCAUUUCAUUACUAAUGAAAUGUCUUUUGUCAAUCUAAUUGUUCUUACUUUUCUUUCUAUUAAAUUUUAACAAUUUUUUUCUAUCCCUCAUGUUAUAGAGUUCCCAUUAUGUUUAGUUGUAAGUUUAUUUCAUCCUGCUUAGCACCCUGUAUGCUCUUAUAAUCUUUAAACUCAUGUUUUUCUAUUGUUCUGACAUAUUAUUACUUCUAAUAUUGAUUUUCUGCCAUAUGCCAUUUCCUUUAUUUUAUACUUUAUUUCCUAUUUAAUUUGUGUUGGAAACUUUUUGUCUGCUUUCCAUGUCAUUUCAUCCAUAUUUUGUAUCUCUUUAGUUCUAUAGCUUUCUGUGUGAUUGCUACUAUUCUAUAUCCUAAUUCAUCAAUUAUAAAGAGUUUUUAAUCUAGAGUUUAUCCUAUGUAUUGAUUUGUAUUUUAAAUUUUGAAGAAUGUACUGACAUUUUCAGGAUUUCUGUUUCUUUUUAAAAAAAAUCAUGUCAAGAUUUUUCCAUGUUCAGGAUUCACAUCUAACUUGUUUUUAUUUCACAAUUCCUUAUUCUUUUUUAUGGAUAUUAUUCUGUCUCUUAACACUUUGAAUAGUGUAUUCAUUUAUUUAAUAGCCUCUUAUAGAGGACCUGGAGGGUGUUGUGCUGAGUGGAGUAUAAAAGACAGGG